rnacentral:rRNA from 1 species
AGAGUUUGAUCCUGGCUCAGAAUGAACGCUGGCGGCGCGCCUAACACAUGCAAGUCGAACGAGAAAUCUCGAGCUUGCUCGAGAGAGUAAAGUGGCGCACGGGUGAGUAACGCGUGGGUAACCUGUCCUUAAAUUUGGGAUAAUCCACCGAAAGGUGGCCUAAUACCAAAUACGGUCCUAAGAACCAAGGUACUUAGAAUGAAAGCUGACCUCUUCGUGAAAGUUGGCGUUUAAGGAGGGGCUCGCGUACCAUUAGCUUGUUGGUAGGGUAAAGGCCUACCAAGGCUACGAUGGUUAGCUGGUCUGAGAAGAUGGCCAGCCACACUGGAACUGAAACACGGUCCAGACUCCUACGGGAGGCAGCAGUGAGGAAUCUUGCGCAAUGGGGGAAACCCUGACGCAGCGACGCCGUGUGAGUGAAGAAGGCCUUCGGGUCGUAAAGCUCUGUCAAGUGGGAAUAAAGUCUCUCGGUGAAUACCCGAGGAAUUUGAAGGUACCACUAAAGGAAGCACCGGCUAACUCCGUGCCAGCAGCCGCGGUAAUACGGAGGGUGCAAGCGUUAUUCGGAUUUAUUGGGCGUAAAGAGCGUGUAGGUGGUUGGGAUAGUCAGAUGUGAAAGCCUUCUGCUCAACAGAAGAAGUACGUCUGAAACUACCCAACUUGAGUACGAGAGAGGAAAGUGGAAUUCCCAGUGUAGAGGUGAAAUUCGUAGAUAUUGGGAGGAACACCUGUGGCGAAGGCGACUUUCUGGAUCGAUACUGACGCUGAGACGCGAAAGCGUGGGGAGCAAACAGGAUUAGAUACCCCGGUAGUCCACGCUGUAAACGAUGGGAACUAGGUGUAGCGGGUAUUGAUCCCUGCUGUGCCGAAGCUAACGCAUUAAGUUCCCCGCCUGGGGAGUACGGUCGCAAGGCUA